GGAGGUGUUUGUGAGGCUGAAGGGGCGGCGUGUUCAAAGCCUGGCUUCACUUCUUUGUGGAGGCAUCGAUGACCUGCAAGCAACGAUUUCAGGUCAAAAACCUUCUUCAUUAGUUCACUUUCAGUUCAGGGUUAUUGCAUGAAUCACUUCUCAGUCAUUAGCUUUCUUAGAAAACAUGCUUCAAGGAGACAUUUUCUUCUGAGUUGGGGACUUCACCAGAAAAAAGGAAGAAGAAUAAGAGCGUCUUCAAUUAAACCACACAAACCAUGAUUUCUACGCAUCUAUGUAUAUUUAUGGCCUGUUUCCUAAAUUCACACUCAACCAAGCAGAGAUCCAUCACACGCGCAGACUUUCACCUGCUACUGUAAAACCUGAGCUACGGCAGCCAAUGAACGGGAUUGUUUCUUAUUUUCGGCAUGGGAACUGGUUUGGCAAAACUGUGAGUCAUAAGCAGCACCACAGACAACAGCGCUUCAUUUUUAUAAUACCACAACAUCUCACCAUCAAACCAGUUAUUGUUUGGACAAUGGAGCAGGAACUGUUACAGAAGAAACGAACCCGGUGGUGCCAGAAGACACAGCUGCUCCUCCAAAGCCUCCUUGUUCUGGGAAACAUGUUUUCAUUGCAUCAACAAUCACAGAUAUAAUCAUAAAAACGCUGGCAUGUGGAAGCAGACGGUCUGUGGGAGUGUGGCCGCUGCUGUUCUGUUUCCUAGCAGGAUGCAAGUGCAGUUUCACAUGUGUUUUUUUUUUGAGAGAGAGCACAAAUGAAGACGCACAGAGACAGACACACAUACCCGUGAUAAUAAGUAGUUCAAUCUCCACAUAUUGGAGUUAUCGUCCUCAAAUUUCUAAGUGAAAUGCUUCGGUAGGUCUCUAACAAAAAUAAUAAACAUCACGUCACUAAAACCUCACAAAUAGAAUGAUUAUCAAAACCAAAAUAAUGUAGGACAUCUGUUAAAGACGUAUCAAAUGAAUAAUUGCUCAAUAGAAUAAAAAGGUGUAAUAAUGAAAUAAAAGUGUAAUAAAAGUGA